UUUGAUGAAACAUUAUUAUUGAAAACAUCUAUAUUCAUAUUUGUUUUUUUAGACUUUAGCAAAAGUGAUCGCAGCUGUACUUAGGUUUAACGAUGUACAAACUCAGCAAGUUAUACGCAGAGAAGAAGCCAGGCAUCCAACGAAAUAGAUGCUGCAGCAUGAAGUGCCUUCUAAUUGCAUCUAAUGAAGACUAAAUUGAAUACUCACUGGUUGAGUUUUAAUUAGUUGCCUGAUCAAGCAAUCCAAGAUCAUUUUGAGGACCAACAAACAGUGCUUUCUUCCACUUCACUGUCCUCUUUCAAUGGAAUUGCUUCAUCCACCAUUUUGUAAAUCAAUACAUGUUUAUAAAAAUAGUUUUUUUUAAUUAAUUUGAAGAUUAAUAAUAUAUUCAUAAUUAUUUGAAAUGUUUAUUAAAAUUGUUUAUACAAGA